rnacentral:rRNA from 1 species
UACGGAGGGUGCAAGCGUUAUCCGGAUUCACUGGGUUUAAAGGGUGCGUAGGUGGGCAAGUAAGUCAGUGGUGAAAUCUCCGGGCUUAACCCGGAAACUGCCAUUGAUACUAUUUGUCUUGAAUACUGUGGAGGUCAGCGGAAUAUGUCAUGUAGCGGUGAAAUGCUUAGAUAUGACAUAGAACACCAAUUGUGAAGGCAGCUGGCUACACAAAUAUUGACACUGAGGCACGAAAGCGUGGGGAUCAAACAGG